rnacentral:rRNA from 2 species
UUUGCCUUUUGUGAUACGCUUUCAAAGAGUCAGGUUGUUUGGGAAUGCAGCCUAAAUUGGGUGGUAAAUCUCACCUAAAGCUAAAUAUUGGCGAGAAACCGAUAGCGAACAAGUACCGUGAGGGAAAGAUGAAAAGAACUUUGAAAAGAGAGUUAAACAGUAUGUGAAAUUGUUAAAAGGGAACCGUUUGGAGCCAGACUGGCUUGUCUGUAAUCAAUCUAGGCUUCGGCCUGGAUGCACUUGCAGGCUAUGCCUGCCAACGACAAUUUGACUUGAGGGAAAAAACUAAGGGAAAUGUGGCCCACUUGUGGGUGUUAUAGUCCCUUAGAAAAUACCUUGGGUUGGAUUGAGGAACGCAGCGAAUGCUUUUUGGCGAGUUUUCCAGGAAGGUUUUCUGAGGUACUACGGUAUCAAGGUUGAUC